CGGCGCGACUAGGACGUUACUUUUAAUUGAAUUACUCAAGUUAGCUUUCAAGUUCAAGUUGAAGUUCAAGUUCAAAGUUUCAGGUGCGGCGCGACUAGGACGUUACUUUUAAUUGAAUUACUCAAGUUAGCUUUCAAGUUCAAGUUGAAGUUCAAGUUCAAAGUUUCAGGUGUGGGAUUUAUUUCAGUACAUGCCCGUGGUUAAUUCUUGUCCAUUUUAAUAUCAUGUGUUUACCAUAUGUGAGUUGCAUUAAAUUAUAUCGCUAGGGCCCGCUCAAUGGGUCCAGGACUUCACCGUCCUUGGUAUGCCACAAUGCGAUUUCAUGUUAAAGUUAUGGUUGCAACCAGUCGCCAGGGGCCGGCUCAAUCGGUCCAGGACGGAAAGGUCCUUGGUAUGCCACCGUGCGACUUUCAGUUACGAAUGUAUUGAUCAUAUGUGAUUCUCAUUUUAUUAACGUGGACAAUGAUUGCAUGUUCCCACACUGAGUGUACCCUGUAUGCUCAUCCCAUAUUUAACAUUUUCAGGUUUUAAAGGCCGGAGGCGCGUGGAAGGUCGAAUGGCGAGUCAAAUAUUUUGAAUUUAGUUUUACUUAAAAAUGUUAUGUUUAGUAAAGUAUUUUAAAAUAAGAUAUUUAUUUCUUUAUUUUCACAUUAAAUAUUUAUUUAUAUUCAUAAUUUUUCCG